rnacentral:lncRNA from 8 species
GGGUAGCGAGCAAAGGACCAGCGUUCAGCGAGGAGCAUGAGCGGCAGUACGCUGAAGUAGGAGCACUAGCUCUUGUGAAAAAUCUGCGGACUAGGGGGCUAGUAAAGAGGGAGAGAUGCCCAGAGAGCAUACAGCUGUUUCGGUCGAGCGAGAGCGAGUUCUCCGGCGGCUGAAGAGUGGUUCUUGAAUCGGACAGAUGAUGUUCCAUCCUCUUUUCUGCCAAUCACCCAAAGAUGAGGACAACACCCAAACUGGCACGAUAACAGCACUGUAUAAGAAGAGGACCCAAUGGUUCCAAAAGGCCUGGUGUUGCUCUUCCGCCGUCCGCCCAGAGUCUGCCGCAGCUAUUUGGACAGCAACAGGUGAAAAGGUGAGAGGAGGUUGCUGA